rnacentral:misc_RNA from 1 species
GAUGAAGAACGUAGUGAAAUGCGAUAAGUAAUGUGAAUUGCAGAAUUCAGUGAAUCAUCGAAUCUUUGAACGCACAUUGCGCCCGCCAGUAUUCUGGCGGGCAUGCUGUCCGAGCGUCAUUUCAACCCUCGAACCCCUCCGGGGGGUCGGCGUUGGGGACCUCGGGAGCCCCUAAGACGGGAUCCCGGCCCCGAAAUACAGUGGCGGUCUCGCCGCAGCCUCUCCUGCGCAGUAGUUUGCACAACUCGCACCGGGAGCGCGGCGCGUCCACGUCCGUAAAACACCCAACUUCUGAAAUGUUGACCUCGGAUCAGGUAGGAAUACCCGCUGAACUUAAGCAUAUCAAUAAGCGGAGGA